rnacentral:rRNA from 1 species
GAGUAACGCGUAUGCAACUUACCUAUCAGAGGGGGAUAACCCGGCGAAAGUCGGACUAAUACCGCACGAAGCAGGGGGCCCCGCAUGGGGAUAUUUGCUAAAGAUUCAUCGCUGAUAGAUAGGCAUGCGUUCCAUUAGGCAGUUGGCGGGGUAACGGCCCACCAAACCGACGAUGGAUAGGGGUUCUGAGAGGAAGGUCCCCCACAUUGGUACUGAGACACGGACCAGACUCCUACGGGAGGCAGCAGUGAGGAAUAUUGGUCAAUGGCCGAGAGGCUGAACCAGCCAAGUCGCGUGAGGGAUGAAGGUUCUAUGGAUCGUAAACCUCUUUUAUAAGGGAAUAAAGUGCGGGACGUGUCCCGUUUUGUAUGUACCUUAUGAAUAAGGAUCGGCUAACUCCGUGCCAGCAGCCGCGGUAAUACGGAGGAUCCGAGCGUUAUCCGGAUUUAUUGGGUUUAAAGGGUGCGUAGGCGGCCUUUUAAGUCAGCGGUGAAAGUCUGUGGCUCAACCAUAGAAUUGCCGUUGAAACUGGGGGGCUUGAGUAUGUUUGAGGCAGGCGGAAUGCGUGGUGUAGCGGUGAAAUGCAUAGAUAUCACGCAGAACCCCGAUUGCGAAGGCAGCCUGCCAAGCCA